rnacentral:rRNA from 1 species
AUACGUAGGGGGCGAGCGUUGUCCGGAAUGACUGGGCGUAAAGGGCGUGUAGGCGGCCGAUUAAGUCUGGAGUGAAAGUCCCGCUUUCAAGGUGGGAAUUGCUUUGGAGACUGGUUGGCUUGAGUGCGGAAGAGGUAAGUGGAAUUCCCAGUGUAGCGGUGAAAUGCGUAGAGAUUGGGAGGAACACCAGUGGCGAAGGCGACUUACUGGGCCGUAACUGACGCUGAGGCGCGAAAGCGUGGGGAGCGAACAGGAUUAGAUACCCUGGUAGUCCACGCUGUAAACGAUGAAUGCUAGGUGUAGGGGGUAUCGACCCCUCCUGUGCCGGAGUAAACGCAAUAAGCAUUCCGCCUGGGGAGUACGGCCGCAAGGUUGAAACUCAAAGGAAUUGACGGGG